rnacentral:rRNA from 1 species
UCCAGACUCCUACGGGAGGCAGCAGUGGGGAAUAUUGGGCAAUGGAGGAAACUCUUACCCAGCAAUGCCGCGUGAAUGAAGAAGGUCUUCGGAUUGUAAAGUUCUUUAAUUGGGGACGAAAAAAAUGACGGUACCCAAGGAAUAAGCCCCGGCUAACUACGUGCCAGCAGCCGCGGUAAUACGUAGGGGGCAAGCGUUAUCCGGAUUCACUGGGUGUAAAGGGAGCGUAAACGGCGACGCAAGUCUGGAGUGAAAGCCCGGGGCCCAACCCCGGGACUGCUCUGGAAACUGCGGCGCUGGAGUACGGGAGGGGCAGGCGGAAUUCCUGGUGUAGCGGUGAAAUGCGUAGAUAUCAGGAGGAACACCGGCGGUGAAGGCGGCCUGCUGGACCGUGACUGACGUUGAGGCUCGAGAGCGUGGGGAGCAAACAGGAUUAGAUACCCUCGUA